rnacentral:rRNA from 1 species
UACGUAGGGUGCAAGCGUUAAUCGGAAUUACUGGGCGUAAAGCGUGCGCAGGCGGUUUUGUAAGUCUGACGUGAAAUCCCCGGGCUCAACCUGGGAAUUGCGUUGGAGACUGCAAGGCUAGAAUCUGGCAGAGGGGGGUAGAAUUCCACGUGUAGUAGUGAAAUGCGUAGAGAUGUGGAGGAACACCGAUGGCGAAGGCAGCCCCCUGGGUCAAGAUUGACGCUCAUGCACGAAAGCGUGGGGAGCAAACAGG